ensembl:lncRNA
UCCGUCGCGUAAAUUUCGCUUCAAAGGUUUUUUUUUUAUUUUUUAUUUUUUUUACGCGCGAAUGGAUUCAAAUUUUUUAGACACGGCAGGCGCGAAUUUGACGCGCGUCUGGUGUGACUGUGAACGCACAGUCAUGGAGGUUGGCUCGCUUGUUUCUUUUCCAUGGACAGUUUAUCUGUGCUUGCUGCCCAGGUUUAAAAAGUGUGCACGCUUGCUGUAUAGCAAGAUGUUGCGUACAGGGCAUUGUGCAAUUUGGAAGAAUUUUGUGUGGAUAUAAGCAUCCACCUUCAUUUUUUUAAGAAUACCGUUUAGGCUUCCUUUAUCAUGUUUCAUGUGAACCUUUAUGAUUGUUGAUAUUGCGUCACUAUUUUCUAAUGAAAUCAUGUAAAUAAGUGUACGGGUUUAUUUUUAGGUUAGUCACAUUUCCGAGCGAAAUGUUAUGAAAUGUUAAUGUAAACAUUAUGUUAACUCUCCUCUCUCUAUUAGCUUUACCUCCUCUGUGUUGGUGCUUGUCAUGGUAACGUGCACAUUUUCUCAUUCAUUACGUUUCUGAAUGUAUUUUUUUUUUCUUUACAGCACAUCAUGUUGGUCAAAGUGAGAUUUGGUGAAACUCAGAAGUAUGUUAAAGUUGCCCAAACUGAAGAGGGCUAUGAAGACUACAAUACAUUUCUUCAGAAAGACCGAGCUGCAUGUCACAGAUGAUUCUGGGACAGAAGUGGAUGCGGAUGUGUAUGAGGAGCUUUUAAAAGCAGGGAAUCUUAUCAUUCAUGUGUCCACAGAAAAGUCUACAGUUGUGCUUAAUCAAGAUCUCUCACAUUCUACGUCAGAGUUGCUUGUGUCCGACACGUCAUCCUCUGUGGCGUCUGAUUCAUCAGAUGCAACAGUGAUUCAUGAUAGAAACAAUGUAUAUAAAAGAACCCACAUUGAGCGGGAAUCAGCAAAUGAGAUGGUGAGAAACGUUCUCCAGUCUAAGCCGGGGGGAGAAAAAAUCUUGCACGAGUAUGACAAAACAAAGACAUUGACGGAUGCUACACGGCGACAAAUGGUAAGCCUCCUGGUUGCAGACAUGAUGGAAGUACAUGGGUAAGUAUACCAUGUUGGUAACACUUUACUUGAAGGGGUGUGCAUAAGACUGACAUCACCUUCAUAAUCAUGACAUGUCACAUGUCAUGAGGUUUUAUGCAUGUUUAUGACAACUGUAAUUAAGUAUCAUUCACUAAAAUAUGACAUUUUUAAUGCAAAUGUCAUAACAAAGACAUCUCAAACAAUGUCAUAUUUGCAUUAAAAAUGUCAUAAUU